UACGUAGGUGGCAAGCGUUGUCCGGAUUUACUGGGUGUAAAGGGCGUGCAGCCGGGCUGACAAGUCAGAUGUGAAAUCCCGCGGCUCAACCGCGGAACUGCAUUUGAAUCUGUCAGUCUUGAGUACCGGAGAGGUCAUCGGAAUUCCUUGUGUAGCGGUGAAAUGCGUAGAUAUAAGGAAGAACACCAGUGGCGAAGGCGGAUGACUGGACGGCAACUGACGGUGAGGCGCGAAAGCGUGGGGAGCAAACAGG
rnacentral:rRNA from 1 species